rnacentral:lncRNA from 1 species
GGCGGGGCGUCCCCCGCGCAGGCGCACGCGCACAGGGUCCCGCCGAGCUGGUCCUGGCUUGACGCGGUGCUCCGGUGCCUGUCCGAAGCGCGAACCCUGCUGCUUCCUGCUGGCGUUCUUUCGGCCGGGAACGCCAGUCCAGCGUGGAGUGCGUGACCCCUGAUGUCCGGAGGGCUUUCCGGAUCUUCGGCGUCGCCGCAGCGCUGCCUCGAUGGCACCGCCACGGCCCGCCUGGGCUCCAGGCCGAUUUUAGAGACCGGAGGCCAGGGCUUGGCCGGAGCGCCCCGUGCGUCCCUGCAGCGCCUGCACCCUACGGCCUGGCACGUGCUGGCCUUCGUGUCCUGUUGAAGCUAAGCCACUUGGUGCGACGUCGUUUUCAGACUGUGAUAGGGAGGCUCAGAGGAAGCUUCUGUCCCAGCCGACCUGGUUGCAGCCUUGCAGGGGCUCAGCUGGGACUGAAAAUUGGGGAGUUGGUGCAUGGACUCCAGGCAGAGGGAUGUGGUGCUGUGCCCUGCAGCGGUGAGUAUGAAUACACUCUCCAUCACAGGUUCUGUCUGCUUACCUCCCAAACGCCUUGCCUUGCAGCCCACCCCCGCCAAGUCUGUGUACAGAACAGCCUCCUUUCAGCCUUCUCCCUCGCCCUCAAUCCCUUCUGCUUCACUUUCUUUCCCUUGUCCUGUGGGGUCCUUGGCUUGUAUAACAGCAUCAAAAACAGACAUUUAUUUAUUUGUUCAUUCAUCCAAUAUUUGGUGUCAGGUGCUGAGAGUACAAGAACGAGCAGAGCAAAGCCAGGCACGAUUCCUGACCUCCAGCAACUUCCAUUCUGACCGAAGACUGUCAUUAUAGAACUAACUGCAUAUAAGUGUAAAAUGGCAACCAUGACAAAGUGGCAAUGGGACAGGAGUCCAGAGGAACUGAUGACCCAGCUGAAAUCUGAGGGUCAAAGGGAACUUACCCUGGGAAAAGGAGGACACUCCAAGCCACAAGGAAUCACCAGAUGGCAUUCCAAAGUGGCUGUCCCAUCUUGCAUUCCCACCAGCAAUGGAUAAGAGUUCUUGUUCCAUAUUCUCAUGAGCAUUUGGUGUUGUCAGUGUUCUGGAUUUUGGCCAUUCUAAUAGGUGUAUAAUUAAUUAGCUUUUUAUUGAAAAGAGAUGAAUCCCUAUAAGGAUGAAUUUUCUUCCUUCUUUCCUUCUUUCCUCAUUCCCUCCCUCCCUCCUCUCUUUCUCUUUUUUCUUUUUGUACCAGGGAUUGAACCUAGGGCACUUUACCACUGAGCUACAUCCCCAGCCCCUUUUAUAUUUUAUUUUGAGACCAUCUGGCUAAGUUGCUAAGGUUGCUGAACUUGGUCUUGAACUUGAGAUCCUCUUGCCUCAAUUUGGGAUUAGGGGUAUGUGCCACUGUGCUGGGCCUGGGUGAAUUUUCACAAAGUAAGUACACCUGUGUAACAAGGACCUAGAUUAAAAAACAACAUGC